rnacentral:rRNA from 1 species
CCCUUAGAUGUUCUGGGCCGCACGCGCGCUACACUGAUGCAUUCAACGAGCCUAGCCUUGACCGAGAGGUCCGGGUAAUCUUUGAAACUGCAUCGUGAUGGGGCUAGAUUAUUGCAAUUAUUAAUCUUCAACGAGGAAUGCCUGGUAAGCGUGAUUCAUCAAAUCGCGUUGAUUACGUCCCUGCCCUUUGUACACACCGCCCGUCGCUCCUACCGAUUGAGUGUGUUGGUGAGGAGUUUGGAUUGGCCUCGGAAGGUGGUUCGCCACCGUCCGUAGCUGAGAAGUUCUCCAAACCGCCCCACUUAGAGGAAGGAGAAGUCGUAACA